GGUAAAAUGGCUGAGUAAGCAUUAGACUGUAAAUCUAAAGACGAGACAUAAGUCUCUUUUACCA
rnacentral:tRNA from 1 species